GCCCAUUCAGAUCCUGUCCCAAUGCCCACCUGUGGUAACACCUUCCUUUCUCUCAACCUGGCCUUUCUCACCCACAAGGUGGGAAUGGUGAUUUCCACCUCUCGGGAGAAGAGAGAAUGGGCCCGGAUCUGAGGGGCAUUAACAGGGGAGCAGAGUCUUACUGUGUCAAAUUCUAUCUUGUCCGUGACCUUUGGCGGGCUAUGUGCUGGCACGGAGAGGAAGUUGGAGCGAGGUGUCUGGACCAUGGCGAGGAAAUGGAUCAAUUCUUGCCCUCGUGUUCACUGAAUGAAGUAACUUACAGCCCCAGCUUUGCAGCCAGACAGAGCCCUGGGCAAGUUACCCUGGCCUCGGAGCCCCCACACCUGACACCCCACGUGUUCUCAGCUGUAACGUGGGUUGCAGACACCCGUGUUGCCAAUGUUAUUACCAUGAUUGUUGUUUUCUUCCACUGGCAGAUGCACAGGAAAUGGCUCUCUCUGCUGAACUGAGCACCUCUGGGGCUCCUUCCUGGCCUGGGGUUUCUUUGAGACAGGCCCAGGAGAGUGACAGCCGGGCCUGAGAGGGAAGGACAGGCUGUGACUCACAAAGGUGCAGGAGUCCUCUCCCCGGGUUCACCGGGAGCUGACGGGCUAGGCCGUGGGAGGCCUUGAGACCAAGCUCCGACUUUGGAGAUGGGCCAGGCUUGGCUGGGCGCCUCCAGUGGUUUUGAACAGGGGGCGCCAUGAGUUAACUGGUGCUUUCAGAAAGCUAAACCUGGCAGCAAGUGGCUUCUUCAGAGAAGGGACUCACCCAACAUCAGAAUGUUUACCAAAAUCAAUCACGCGGUGGGCCAUAGAGAAAGUCUCCUUACACUGCAAAGAAUCUGUGUGGUUAUACCGUGUCUGCGAUCACAGUGAAAUACAACUAGAUAUUAAAAGCAAAAGAAUAGCUCAGAAAUUCUGUUUGGAAGCUAAAUAGCAUGUUUAAAAUAGAAACAAUAAAAGAAAUCAGAAAAAUCAAGGAUGGCAUGAUUUUGAGGAUGCUACAUGCCCAAAUGUGUGGCACACAGAGAGAGGGAAAUCUAUGCCUUUAAAUCUAUUUAUCAGGAAACAAGAAGGGUUGAAAACAAACCAGCUAGGUGUUUGCUCCUAGAAACUGGAAAAAGAGCUACAGAGCAAACCUAAAGGAACAAGAAAGAUGACAGGAAUAAGGACAAGGGCAGGCACAAAUAAAUAGAGAUUAGCAAAGGUGCAGACAGGUUUUUUGGAAAGAUUAACAACGACAGAGGGAGGGCCACGAGAUGAUGCUGUCAGGAGGGCGUGCAGGACACAGGAUGCUUUGGGCUGUAGGUGUGGGGAAAAGGCAACCAGGUUUUUCCAUGCAUCUCACAGGACUGGUUUGCCUGGGACAGCCCUGGUUUCUGCCUGUUGUCCUGGCUAUCACUCAUGGCAUCUCCCAUCCCCUCAAAGGGUCCUGCUUUGGAAGGUAACUGACACCAGUGCUGUCCAAUAGGAACUGAGACCCUUAUGUAACUACUGAGAUGUGUGGUUGGUGCAAAUUCACAUCAGAUUUUGAAGACUUAGUAUGAGAACAAGAAAGUAAAACAUCUCAUACAUACGUGUGUGUGUGUGUGUGUGCGUGUAUGUUUUAUUUUUAUUUUUAUUUUUUUGAGAUGGAGUCUCGCUCUGUCACGCAGGCUGGAGUGCAAUGGCACGAUCUCAGCUCACUGCAACCUCCUACUCCCGGGUUCAAAUGAUUCUCCUGCCUCACCCUCCCGAGUAGCUGGGAUUACAGGUGCCACCACCACGCCCAGCUAAUUUUUGUAUUUUUAGUAGAGAUGGGGUUUUGCCAUGUUGGCCAGGCUGGUCUGGAACUCCUGACCUCAAGUGAUCCAACUGCCUCGGCCUCCCAAAAUGCUGGGAUUACAGGUGUGAGCCACCACACCUGGCCUCAUUAAUAUUUUUUAUAUUGAUUACAAGUUCAAUAAUAUUUUAGAUCUAUUGAAUUAAGAAUUAAUACAUCACUAAAAUUAUUUCCACCUGGUUCUUUGAUGUGAUUACUAGAAAAUAAAACAUUACUUCUGUGGCUUGCAUUCUA